ensembl:lncRNA
GAGGAAAGAGAGAGAGGCAGGAGGAGAAUGAUACUGCAGAGUGGUUGAGGAAAGAGAGAGAGCAGGAGGAGAAUGAUACUGCAGAGUGGUUGAGGAAAGAGAGAGACAGGAGGAGAAUGAUACUGCAGAGUGGUUGAGGAAAGAGAGAGAGAGGAGGAGAAUGAUACUGCAGAGUGGUUGAGGAAAGAGAGAGAGGCAGGAGGAGAAUGAUACUGCAGAGUGGUUGAGGAAAGAGAGAGAGGCAGGAGGAGAAUGAUACUGCAGAGUGGUUGAGGAAAGAGAGAGAGACAGGAGGAGAAUGAUACUGCAGAGUGGUUGAGGAAAGAGAGAGAGACAGGAGGA